CCCUUAGAUGUCCGGGGCUGCACGCGCGCUACACUGAAGGAAUCAGCGUGCUAAAACCAUUGUCGAAAGGCAUUGGUAAACCCAUUAAAAUCCUACGUGAUUGGGAUCGGGAAUUGCAAUUAUUUCCCUUGAACGAGGAAUUCCCAGUAAGUGUGGGUCAUAAGCUCGCGUUGAUUACGCCCCUGCCCUUUGUACACACCGCCCGUCGCUGCCCGGGACUGAGCCGUUUCGAGAAAAGCGGGGACUGCUGCUGUCGGGGCUUUCGGGCCUUGGCUUCGGUGGAAACCGCUUUAAUCGCAGUGGCUUGAACCGGGCAAAANUCGUAACA
rnacentral:rRNA from 1 species